GUGUAUUGUGCUCCGGGUACAAAGCUGAAUCAAACAUUAAUGGCAUGAUCUAUUGAUAAAAGAAAAAAAAAAGAAAAAUUAUUAUGUUGGAAAAAGCACAGGGCAUUAAGGAAUGAUCAACUCAUUAACAAAUGAGCAGAUAUACUGGUUGAUGGCUUUUUUAGAUGAUUAGCUGAGAAUACAUAUUUCUUUGUUGAUGCUUACAAGCUGCAUGGUAUAUUCUAUGUUUGUAACACAAUUGCUGUUUUUCUGAAGCUUAUUUAACUUUGCCAGAUAAUAUACACCAUUGUUUCUAAAAUGAUGCAGCUAUAUGCUCGUAGGCACUUUUUGUUUCCUCCAUUGAGUCUUGAGGAACAUAAUGACUGUGUGAUUGCAGUUGUACGCUGUGAAGCACAAGUACAGAUUUCCUAAUCAAUAUUAUCUUUUCUUUCUUUCUUUCUUUCAAUUUUGCAUCACAUUUGUUAUUCUAUAUUCUUAAAUGGAGACUUUUCCGUGGGUGAGAUAUGCUAUUUUUUUUCCAAUCAAGUAAUAAAUCUGUAAUCUUGUAUUGUAUACCACUUUUCUAUUUUUGGAGUCUAUGAUGUAGAUUUUACUUAACUCAACCUUCCCUUCUUCUACCCAUUGUUAAGAUCCCUUGUUAUUCUAACUUCUACGGAUUUGUUGGUGAGCCUUCACUUUCAUCUGUGAACUUUAGUUACUAUUCAUGAUGUGAUAAGAAGAACAAUACAAUAUGCUAACCAAUUGUAUAUUCAGUUACAGAGCAUGCAUGUUGUAUAUAGUAGCAAAAGACUUAUAGGUUAUGGUCCGUAUGGAAUUGUAUCUCUUUCUCGUACUUUUUUUGGUUCUACAUAAUUUUGAAGUUUUUUCUUCCCAACCCCUUGUGUAGUUUUAGGAGUCUGGCAGUAUUUUUUUAGCUGUUUGAAGGGAAUUGGGUUGCAAUAAAGGAUUUAAAAUGGUUUGGUGCUAGUUUACAAUUGGUUUGGUUUCUCCUUUUCCUGCUUUGAUGUUCGCCCCUCUCAUCUUUUUAAGUUCAUUGUUAUGUGAUAUCUUUGUUGCUCAAGCUCAAAUGCUAAUUUAUUUGAUUGCUGCAAUCAGGAUGCAUUGCUCCAGAAACUUCUCAAUGAUAAUUACCUGUCAGAGGAAGAAAGCCUUUGAAUUCUAUUUGGACUUUUGGGAACCCUUCUAUUUUAGGAGCCUAGAGCACACCUAAAAUUCCAUGUGAGGUAGCACCAUAUGAAGGGAAAUUACUGAUUCAGGUUGGAGAAUGUGUUCUUGGCAUUUUGGCAGAGUAACAGAAUUUCAAGUUUUCAACUCUUUCAAAAGAUGAUGAUGGGACUUCUAAAAUUGAAUGGAAGGAAAGGCUCUUGGUUUGAGUUGCUUGAGAUAUUACUUGGCAUACAAGUCAAAUGUCAUGUGGUGUCAUGGCAAGAAAUCGGGUGUUCUUCGUUUGGGAAAGAAUGUUGGUUCAGCUAAAACAUGAACAAAAAAGCGUGUUGGGGUAGCAGUUUACAACUGAGCAUCUUCACUAGAAACAUUAUCCUUGAGCUUGAGAGAUAAGAGAAAAAGUGAUCGGAUGGCGCAUUUUGACAGCAAAAAAGACUGAUUUUGGUGUCAAUGAGUUUCAUUUGACGAGUUGGUUAUCUCUUCCUGACAAAUGUAAAUCGUUUGGAAGAGUAAUGCUUACGUUGGGAUUCUCAACUGGUUCUUCUACACAAAUGAUUAUGGAGGAAGCAAAUAGUAAGUCAACUUCUAGAGCGCGCCUUUCUUGUUUGUAAAAUAAAAUUUGUAUCGAGCACCUUACCUCUUCGCUUUUGUAAUAAAAUGCGUGCCACAGUGGCAUGAUAUGGGCAUCAUGUGCUCAGGUGCAAACGUCAUGCACUUUUUUUUCAUUUCCUUUCAAGCUUGGGAUUCUAAGGUUAUGAUGUUGUGGGGCAAGAAAGCUAGGGGAAAGCUAAGAUCACAUUGUGUGGCAAAUGAUGGCAGAGUAAAAUAGAACUGGCUAAUUAGGACUGAAGCCUGUGUAGAGAGAUGAUGUAAGUUAGUGACAAUGGUGUCUCUUUCAUGAGGGGAAAAAGAAAAGGACUUGUGCCUUACAUGCUUUUUGCUAACCCUAUGAACACAUGCCUUGGCCCAACAUGUAGCCUCGCCUAUGGAUAGCUUUAAUGACAUGAAUUUGGGAUCUUUUGGCCUUCUUUUCACA